UAAGUCACUGUAGUAUCUUUGCCAAAAAAACCCCAAAUGAGGUCCCAAAGAGUCAGACAUGACUGAACAACAACAACAACAACUUCUAUUAAAUCUGUUACCAAUUUGGUGAGCCCUUGGGAGCUGAGGUUACUAGGCUGCCUAAGGAGAAGCAAACAAACCCUGGCCAACAACAGAGAAGGUCAAAGUUCUUGUGCUGAUCAGAGGCCAGAGGCCUAGACAAAAUAACCUCACAUCACGCAAGAGACCACCUGCUCCAAAACGGAAGUCCAAAAAGAAUCAAGAGAGACCGCCCUCAAAAGCCUUUGAAUCAGCUUAAAUACCUUCUCAAUCUCGGCCCAGGUUGUACCUUAUUGGAUGUCCAGUUUUUUGACAGCAAACCUGCAGGCUGAGGCCAAGUAGGUGAAGGUUUUUAACUGUUGGGGCCAAUGAGGUUGUCAGAUCAAGCAUGGAAAUUGGAGAAAACUAGGUAAGAUUUCAGGUCAGGUCAGUAAGGUUUCAAUGGGCAGGGAAUACUAUUAAUAAUUAUAAUACU
rnacentral:lncRNA from 1 species